CCUACGGGUGGCAGCAGUAGGGAAUCUUUCACAAUGGGCGAAAGCCUGAUGGAGCAACGCCGCGUGCAGGCUGAAGGCCUUCGGGUUGUAAACUGCUUUUAUAAGCGAGAAAUAUGAUGGUAACUUAUGAAUAAGAAUCGGCCAACUACGUGCCAGCCGCCGCGGUCAUACGUAGGAUCCGAGCUUGAUCCGGAGUGACUGGGUGUAAAGAGUUGCGUAGGUGGCAUAAUAAGUAUCUAGUGCAAUCUGGUGGCUCAACCAUUCAGACUAUUAGCUAAACUGUUAAGCUCGAGACCGGUAGGGGUAACUGGAAGUUGUGGUGUAGGAGUGAAAUCCGUAGAUAUUAGAAGGAACACCGAUAGCGUAGGCAGGUUGCGGGGACGGUUCUGACACUAAUGCACGAAAGCGUAGGGAGCGAACGGGAUUAGAUACCCCUGUAGUC
rnacentral:rRNA from 1 species